rnacentral:tRNA from 1 species
UUCUCUAUAGCUCAGAUGGUAAAGAAUCUGCCUGCAAUGCAGGAGGCCUGGGUUUGAUCCCCUGGAGAAG